AUUGAACGCUAGCGGGAUGCUUUACACAUGCAAGUCGAACGGAGUGGCAAACGGGUGAGAACGCGUAAGUAACCUACCUCUAAGUGGGGGAUAGCUUCGGGAAACUGAAGGUAAUACCGCAUGCUUGGUGAGGGGCUUGCGUCCGGUUAGCUAGUUGGUGGGGUAAUGGCCUACCAAGGCUUCGAUCGGUAGCUGGUCUGAAGGAUGAUCAGCCACACUGGGACUGAGAACCGGCCCAGACUCCUCCGGGAGGCAGCAGCAGGGAAUCAUGGGAAUGGGCGAAAGCCUGACCCCGCAACGCCGCGUGAGGGAUGAAGGCUUUCAGGUUGGAAACCUCUUUUCACAGGGAAGCGGUACCUGUGGAAUAAGCUUCGGCUAACUACGUGCCAGCAGCCGCGGUAAUUC
rnacentral:rRNA from 1 species